CUAUAUUGCUUUUAUACAACAAUUCUACCACUUCUUUUUUGCGCUAAUUUCCCAUUAUCAUGUAAACGUUUAAAUCGCUAAAACUGUCUUGUUUGUAGAACUAACUUCUCUCCGCCACAAAUUUCUACUUCAUGCAGGACAAACUGCCGUUACUAGUUCUAAAUGGAUGGUUGCUAUGGCCAAAGGCCAGUCGUUAGUUCUAAAAGCACGUUGCUAUGGCCAAAAGCCAGUCGUUAGUUCUAUCUCUCCCGUUGUCAAGCAAUGUAGAAUCUAGCCUAAUAAACGUUAGCUCGCAUUGCGUCUGGUUAGGACAUGCUUUUAGCUUUGAAACAUCACUAUUUUACUUAGCCUACAUGCCAUCCAACUAGCUAAUAUCCACCUCCGUCAUAUUCUAUGUUCUGAGCGUCUGUAUUUCAGCUUGGAUGCAACGUGACAGUUCGGUUUACACUUGACAAUUUGACAUUGUAUCGCGGAGUGAUUUAUUAUUAGCUGUGAAAAGUCAGAGUGGAUUAUCGUGGGAUAUCUCAACUCAUGGAACGUCUCUCGGCCAAUCAGAAACAAAGAAACCGCUUCAUAGAACCCAAUUGUUGUAUAAUAAGAUUUGACACAUUGCAGUUUUUUAAUGGUGGGGUUAUUUAUAAAUCAAAGAAUUGUGGGUAGAUGUGGGUGAACUGUGCAACAUGCAGUUUGUGGACAUGAGGCAGACGUAACAGACAGAUAUUUGUGUUUGAGGGGGUGAUGUGUAUGUGUGUGUGUAAGUGUGUGUGUGUGUGUGUGUUUAUGUGAAAGUCUUCGUUGCUGGUCAACUCAGCGACAUGCAGUUUGUGGACAAGAGGCAGAUGUAACGGACUGACGUUUCUGUUUGAAAGAGUUGUUUGUGUGUGUGUGUGUGUGUGUGUCUUUGUUGCCGGUGUACAGUAUUUCUGAAUAUGAAUGCUGUCUGGACAGGAAAUGGCACAGCUUUUAUCACAUGCAACCAAUCCAAAAUCGAUUUCAUAUUCAGAAACGUUAACCAGUAACAGCCUGGUUGCUUUGACAUAUCAAAACCAAAUUUUAUCCUAUUACAUCAUUUGAACAGGUGAGUCGUCCUGUUUAUUUUACCAUCCAUUUAAGGCUAUAACACAUUGCAACUUAUUCAACAGUGAGUAAACUGCGGAUGUUCCCGCAUAACAGAAUAGCUAUAACAUUAGGCUUCUCGUAUUUGUUCUAGAAACAUGCCUAGUUCCUUAGGCUCCCUCCUUCCUUCAGUGGUUACGUGUUUCAUGCUGGCUACACGACAACAACUCAUACUUAAUUCAACACAAGGUCUACAGACCUUAGAGGUGUACAUUUCAUUUUCAUACAUCAAAGCGUUAGCCCUUGACAGCCAAUCAAAUUCUAUGUUGAAGCGUCCAAACAGGAAGUGAGGUCAAAUCUUUGAGGUAUUGAGACCAUAUUUGGCGGCAUGAUUUUGGACACCAUCCAAAGUAGCCUCAGUAAAUGUGUUGUAAUUUGGCCACUAGGGGGCGCCGCAAUUAGCAAAAAUGCAUUUUGGCUCAUAUCUCUUUACGUCUUUGGGAUGACAUCUACAUUUUUACAUUGGAGGUGCUCUGGGCCAUACCACUGAUGAAUCUAGGCAACUUGUCAGGUCAGUGUAAGAAUUCGGCAAUCGAGGGCAACGCCGCCAAACUCGAAGCAGCUUCGCGUCUUGGCCAAAAUUUGUCGCUUUGACCUGAGGACAAGCGGUCGUGUCUCCUACCGGGCGCUGUCGUGGCGCGUCUGAGCAAGCACACUUCGCACUUUCCCACCGGGAAAUGCAUUCUAGUUAUCAUUAGUGUGCUUGCAAAAGCACACUAUUGUUCUUCCUAUUAUUAGUGUGCUUGCUGCAAGCAAAGCACACUAUUGUUAUCCGUGCGUUUCAUAUUAUUUAUCUUAAGUCCAACUUUUGUCUCCCUAUCUUGUCCUAGGGAUUUGGAGCUAGAGACGCCGUUCCACCUCUCACGCAUGCGUCCUGAUGCGAGGAUGGUGGCUUGUAUACAGCUUUUUGAUACGCCUUGUCGUUCUCCCGUUAUUCCAGUUUUUCCGGUCAAUUUUUUCCCAUAGGAAUGAAUGGAAAAGUGAUUUUUGAGCGCUGAUGCCCACACAUUUUUCCACCUGUAGCCCAAACCGUAAGACAUAAGGUCAUGAAAUUUGGUAUGCUGAUAGAGGAGACUACCUUGAUUGACACCACCAGGUUUCAUGCUCGCCACUCUCACGGUCUAGCGCCACCAACUGGUCAAAGUUGGAAAACGCGUUCAUGCCCGUAACUUUUGAUCCGUAUGGCCGAUUUUGAUAACACUUAUACCAUUGGAAUCCUCUGACUCAGCUGAUUCCAACGCACUAUAUGACGUCAUUUUCCGCCAUGAUGGAUUUUCCUCCAUUUUGAAUUUUGUCCAAAGUCAAAGUAAAGCGACUCUGGCCGCAUAGUUUAUCCGAUCGUCAUGAAACUUGGCACGUGUGAUCUACAGACCAAAGCGGAUCAACUGCCUUGAUUUCGCCUACAUACGUCCAAGCGUUCGCCUGUGACAACCAAUUAAAUUCAGCGAGCGAAGCCGCCAAACAGGAAGUGUGCCUAUCUUGGAAAUGCUGUGACGUAUGAAAGCCAUAUUUGGUGGGAUGACUUGAGACCCCAUCCAAAGCACCCUCAAUAAAUUUGGUGUUAUUUGGUUUGUCGAUGGCUCUAUAAUUAGCAAAAACGUGUGUGUUGGUGAAUGUAUACUAUUAUUCGGAAUAGCUCAUCUUAAAUUGCUUAGGUCAUGCAAAAAUGACAUUUCAGAGUAAUUUAAGAUACAAUGUUGAUAUUUUUAAAAAAAAAAUCAAAUCAAGGCCAUUCUUGUAAAACAAUUUGAUAUAUUUAUCACAGCACUGUGGAGUUCUACCAUAUAUUUUCAUACUUUCAUUAUGGUAUGACUGAAGACUCAUACUUUCCAAUCUUUCAUUGGAUGACAGAGAUUUUCCACAACGGUAUUAUGUGAGAGUGGUUCUAGGGUGGUCCGCAACAGGGUGUCUCAUCCUGAGACUAGGUAGAUCUUAGCAAUGCCAUGGCCCCAAGGGACAAGUACGGACUUACGCGCUGUUAGAAUAUGGGUGUGUUCAUUUGGUAUAUAUACUAGACGAUCACACGAUGUUUCAUACUGACGGUGUGUUUUGGAUGAUUUGUAUUGACCUGAGCAUUCUGGGUAAAUCAAUCCCAAAGCCGGCGAAAUACCGGAAGUAGAGCUCUGUGCCAAGCAAUGGUCUCUGUUUGCCAGCCAAUCAGCAACUCGCGUUAUCGACAGUUUAUCGACAGUUCUCUGCUUCAGGCCAAUCAGCAGCUUGAGUUUUCUGGGCCAAUCAGCAGCUCGGAUUAUCUACAGUUUUUUUUAACUACGGCGGCAACGAGAGUGUUUUCACUGACUCCAGGCGUUGCAGCAGAGGGACGACCACUGGCACCAGCGGCGGCGGAAGCGGUGGCAGUGCCAGCGUCAGCGACAGCGCCGGGCCCAGCAGCAGCGGCGGUGGAUCGUCCUCCGGCAGCAGCUACUGUGGUGCCUACAGGCCAGGUGCCGACAGCAGCAGCAAGGGUGGCCGUGACACUGGCAGCAGCACUGGCUGUGGCAGCAUCGGUGCCUGUUCUGCCAGCGCCGUUACGGCUACUGGCGCCAUUACCGCCUGCCCCCUCAGCUGCUGUCCUAGCCGUACCACCAACAGCUGCUGCAGCUGCAACAGGACCUUUUCGUGCUACACAGCCUCUCCUCCUGGACCUCUCAAUGCCCCAGCAGACUGUGAGGGUGCUCCCCAUCCCCCCCCCCAACGCUCCCUCGGACAACGCCAGCCCCACACGUCCUCCCUCUGCCGCUGGCCGCCGCACAUCACGCCGGCCCUCAGGUGCCUGCACUGCAGCUGCUGGACAGGACAGCAAGGACAACAAGCAGUGCAGGCAGCACCUCCUGCUCAGCCUGUCUCUUCAUACAAAACUGAAUAGGCGAGGAGGAAGAGGGCUGAGCAGAGGGCAGCGGCACAGCCAGGGACAGUCACCGCUGCCCGGGCCGGCGUGCCACAAGUGCACAAGUGCAGAAAAUGCGGCCUGCCUAUGCUGUUGUUGAUGGAUGUGCUGUGAAAAAAAACACAGAAUUGUAUGCCAUGUCUGUUCCUCCCUGACAGGUCGCUGUUCUAAACCAGGUUAUUGGUGUUCUUCACCUGUGCUUUGACACCUUACACACCUACACCUUACACCUUGCACUGCCUAUGCUGUCACCUGUGCUUUGACACCUUACAUCGCCUAUGCUGUCACCUGUGCAUUGACACCUUACACUGCCUAUGCUGUCACCUGUGCUUUGACACCUUACACUGCCUAUGCUGUCACCUGUGCAUUGACACUUACACUGCCUAUGCUGUCACCUGUGCAUUGACACCUUACACUGCCUAUGUGCUGUUGUUGUUCUGCACCUGUGCUUUGACACCUUACACUGCCUAUGCUGUCACCUGUGCAUUGACACUUACACUGCCUAUGCUGUCACCUGUGCAUUGACACCUUACACUGCCUAUGUGCUGUUGUUGUUCUGCACCUGUGCUUUGACACCUUACACUGCCUAUGCUGUCACCUGUGCAUUGACACUUACACUGCCUAUGCUGUCACCUGUGCAUUGACACCUUACACUGCCUAUGCUGUUGUUGAUGCAUGUGCUGUAAAAAAAAACAGAAUUGUAUGCCAUGUCUGUUCCUCCCUGACAGGUCGCUGUUCUAAACCAGGUUAUCGGUGUUCUUCACCUGUGCUUUGACACCUUACACUGCCUAUGCUGUCACCUGUGCUUUGACACCUUACACUGCCUAUGCUGUCACCUGUGCUUUGACACCUUACACUGCCUAUGCUGUCACCUGUGCAUUGACACCUUACACUGCCUAUGCUGUCACCUGUGCAUUGACACCUUAAACUGCCUUUGCUGUCACCUGUGCAUUGACACCUUACACUGCCUAUGCUGUCACCUGUGCAUUGACACCUUACACUGCCUAUGCUGUCACCUGUGCAUUGACACCUUACAUUGCCUAUGUUGUGAUUGAUGUGCUAUGUAAAAAAAAUAAUAGUAAUAAUUCUAUGUGAUGUGUGUUCCCCCUGAUGUGCUGUUCUUAUUCUGCACCUGUGCUUUGACACCUUACACCCGUUCUUAUUGAUGUGUGUGCUGUGUAAAACUGGCCAUGCACCCUUCCAGGGGCCAGUAGCAGAUCCAGUACCAGUAGCAUAUCCAGCCGAGCCAGUGGCUGGGACCAGUUAUUUCCAGGCCCAAGCUGUUGUUUGACCCCUUUUUACUGAGGAUUCUAUUUCAUGGAUCUUUAUUAUGCAUUAAUUCAGUCAUAUGACUUCAUAUUUCUAAUAAAUUGUGUUGUUAUA